AGAAUGGAUCUGGGAGGAGUAUGUGGAGAAUAUGCCCAGAUUGCAUUGUAUGAAAAUUUCAAAGAAUUAAUGUUUUUCAGAGACAAAGCAUUCGUGGAAACAAAAAUAAGCAGGGCUUAAGCUAUUCACAAAAAAGAACAGUUAUCAUUUUACAGGAUUAUGACACAACUUCCUUAUUAUACCCAUGUUCAGGUCCAUCUUUGUAAUGGUUAGAAAGAUCAUACCAUGAAGCAGCUUCCUGAAUGCGGAGAAAGAAGGGCGCUACCAGUCAUUUGGGAAAUAUGUUAGUGGAAUCUCCAGACCAUCAACCUUACACAUCAAGAGUUGAAGCAUUAGGGAUACACAUAAUGAAAAGAAGACAGUGUAAGUGACGACGGGAGACCCGUAAAGGUGCUCAUGUGAAAGUGCUAACAGUAUGCCAAGUGUUAACAGCAAUGGAAGGGAGGAGCUAUGCUGACUCUGGCCCAGUGCACCACGAUUGAUCAGCUAGCUGAAAACAAACUGCUGAAUUGAAGAUGUUUUUUCUUUAUUGGAUGAAGAUGGAGAUGGCUAUGAGAACAUGACAGCAAAGGAAUUUGGCCCUCCCAUAUGGUCACUGGCAAUACUCAAAUUUCAGGAUAUGACCAAUGAACUGGUCACCAUUGACAUACCAGAAUUUUUACUUUGAUGG
rnacentral:lncRNA from 1 species